AUGGUCCAUACUGGUCUGUACUGGUUCUUACUGGCCCAUAUGGUCCAUACUGGUUUGUACUGGUCCAUGUGGCCCGUACUGGUUCUUACUGGUUUGUACUGGUCCAUAUGGUCCGUACUGGUUCUUACUGGUCCACAUGGUCCAUACUGGUUCUUACUGGUCCAUGUGGUCCGUACUGGUUCUUACUGGUUUGUACUGGUCCAUAUGGUCCGUACUGGUUCUUACUGGUCCACAUGGUCCAUACUGGUUCUUACUGGUCCAUGUGGUCCGUACUGGUUCUUACUGGUUUGUACUGGUCCAUGUGGUCCAUACUGGUUCUUACUGGCCCAUAUGGUCCAUACUGGUUUUUACUGGUCCACAUGGUCCAUACUGGUUCUUCCUGGUUCUUCCUGGUUGGUACUGGUCGGUACUGGUCGGUACUGGUCGGUACUGGUCGGUACUGGUCGGUACUGGUGCGCUCAGGAGCUGGGGGCGUCCCGGUCCCCCCCCUGCACCAGCAGCACCGGCCCCAGCCCCUCGGUCAGAACCUCCAGCAGCUCCAGGUCUGACCCACGUCAAGGCCUCUGCCCCACGGCGCGACCCACACCCUGCCCCACACCCCAUCCCUGCCCCACACCCUGCCCCACACCCUGCCCCACGGCCUGACCCACAGCGUGACCCACGUCAAGGCCUCUGCCCCACGGCGCGACCCACACCCUGCCCCACGGCCUGACCCACAGCGUGACCCACGUCAAGGCCUCUGCCCCACGGCGCGACCCACACCCUGCCCCACACCCCAUCCCUGCCCCACGGCUGCCC
rnacentral:lncRNA from 1 species